CCUACGGGAGGCAGCAGUGAGGAAUAUUGGUCAAUGGACGAGAGUCUGAACCAGCCAAGUAGCGUGAAGGAUGACUGCCCUAUGGGUUGUAAACUUCUUUUAUCUGGGAAUAAAAUGUUCCACGUGUGGGAUUUUGUAUGUACCAUAUGAAUAAGGAUCGGCUAACUCCGUGCCAGCAGCCGCGGUAAUACGGAGGAUCCGGGCGUUAUCCGGAUUUAUUGGGUUUAAAGGGAGCGUAGGUGGAAUGUUAAGUCAGUUGGGAAAGUUUGCGGGUCAACCGUAAAAUUGCAGUUGAAACUGGCAGUCUUGAGUACAGUAGAGGUGGGCGGAAUGCGUGGUGUAGCGGUGAAAUGCUUAGAUAUCACGAAGAACUCCGAUUGCGAAGGCAGCUCACUGGACUGCAACUGACACUGAGGCACGAAAGUGUGGGUAUCAAACAGGAUUAGAUACCCUAGUAGUC
rnacentral:rRNA from 1 species